rnacentral:rRNA from 1 species
UGCUGUCAAGUAAACUCACUUAUACGAGAAGACUGCGAAUAUCUCCUUAAAUCAGCAAUCGUUUAUUUGAUCGUAACUCGGGAAUUAUCUUGGUUUAAUUGGAUAACUGCGUUAAUUCUGGAGCUAAUACAUGCUAAAAAGGCGUGUGCACGCAAGUGUGCGCGUCUGUAUUUAUUAGAUUUACAAAACCAACAAGUCAGCUGGGCAUUCCAAACAGCAGCAAUGCUGGUCCAGUUGGCGCUACAAACAUGAUUGGUGAUUCACAAUAACUUUUUCGGAUCGCGGGCGCAGCGAUGCGCGGCGACGUUUCAUUCAAAUUUCUGAUUUAUCAUCUUGUUGUCAGGAUAGAGACCUGACAAGGAAGCGACGAAUACGGGGAAUUAGAGUUUGGUUCCGGAGAAUCCGCCUGAGAAACGGCGAAUACAUCCAAGGAUGGCAGCAGGUGCGCAAAUUGCCCAAUCCAAAAUAUGGGAGGCAGUGACAAUAUAUAACAAUGCAGAAUCUGUUAAAGGUUUUGCAAUUGUAAUGAGUACAAACUAAAUCCAUUAACGAGUAGCGAGU